rnacentral:misc_RNA from 1 species
GAUGAAGAACGUAGCAAAAUGCGAUAAGUAAUGUGAAUUGCAGAAUUCAGUGAAUCAUCGAGUCUUUGAACGCACAUUGCGCCCCCUGGCAUUCCGGGGGGCAUGCCUGUCCGAGCGUCAUUGCUGCCCUUCAAGCCCGGCUUGUGUGUUGGGUCGUCGUCCCCCCCGGGGGACGGGCCCGAAAGGCAGCGGCGGCACCGCGUCCGGUCCUCGAGCGUAUGGGGCUUUGUCACCCGCUCGAUUAGGGCCGGCCGGGCGCCAGCCGGCGUCUCCAACCUUCUAUUUUACCAGGUUGACCUCGGAUCAGGUAGGGAUACCCGCUGAACUUAAGCAUAUCAAUAAGCGGAGGA